CCACACAAACACCUGCUGGUGAGGGCACAGCAACAGGCUUCCUCCCUACAGAUGCUACACACCAAAAGCAUAAAUGUCAGAUGAUGCCAAUGUGUUUUCUCUACUUGCAUACCAGCUGACACAAAUCCUCCAGUUUUACAGUGACCUGUGCCAGGCUGAACAGAAUGCUACAGUUUAAAGCUUCCACCAUCCUCAAAUUUGCCCUGUUGCUGUAUUUAUCUGGAUGACUAACUAAAACCUAAGAGACUCAAAAUCUGCCUUCUGUGCAUUCACGAAUAAGCUGGGCACUCCCAGGAACCUCUCAUUUUUCAGAGCUGAUGUCAAUAAUUGCAUGCUUGUCUGUAAUACCUAUUGGAACGAUUGCUGAAGACAGAAGCCUGUAUUUCAAAAGUGGCUUGGCACAAGCGAGGAACCACAACGUACAUUUCUGAAGGGCUAAAUAGAAUUCUGGACCUAUAUCGUUCCACCAUAUUCUGAGCCUCACUCUCGGUUCACUGCAUGCCACUGCCUUGUGACCAAAAUUUCUAACCUAUUACUUAUUGCUAGAUGGUGUAGUUUGAAAACCAAAACAUUAAAUUUAAACAGAUGUAAAUGCAUGCAUUUCAUUCAAGUUUUUCCCUGAAAUGAAAACAUUUUGAUGAGGAUCUAGAUGUUACGCUUUUCCUUUGUUAGGAUCUCCAGGAUGCCCUCCCAUUCCCUUCCUACACUCUAGGCUCUGCUUGGGGAAGUGGAUGAGUCCCCACAUACUUGGCAUAACUAUUCUGAGAAUGCAACGUGUAUGGCACAAGUCACUAAUAUCUCUUUAAGAUCUGAGCAUGCAAUCUUCACAACACUCCUCACCACUGUAAACUUGGGCAGCAAGAAUUUAGAGGUCUAAUCGUUCUGUGAAAAUAAACUGUGAAGUCUCUA